UUCCCGAGGCUGAUCUCAAACUCCUGGGCUCAACCAAUCUGCCUGUCUUGGAUUCCCAAAGUGCUGGGCUUCCAGGCGUGAGCCGCGACCCUGCCUCCCUUCUUCUUCUGUCAAGAUUAUUUGUAAAUGUUUCCUUCAUUAUUCAGACUUCACACAUUUAUUGUUCUCUCUGGUGGAAUAUUACCAGCCUCUUCAAGCCUUGCUGUCUGACUGUAAUUCAAAUUAAGGUCUGCAAAUCCUAGCUAUCUUGCCUCAACAACAGCCAGAUAUGAGAAAGAAGAGACGGACAGUUUAUUCCACAUCACUCAAGCUCAAUCAAGUCAGGCAGAAAGCAGAGGAGUGCAAAGCUGGUCCAGCAUCCUCCCUUUCUCAUUCCUUGCAAUGAUGAGGACCAACCUAUUCAAGGGCUGUGGGGAGGAUGAGGAGACAGAGUCAGAGGAAUGGACUGAACUUGGUGCCAGGAGCUCAGAAAAGGUUACAGGGCCCUCUGGCCACUCACCGCAGCUGACAUAUAGGAUAAGCACCAGCCAACCAAUGAAAUAGCUCCAUCCGAUGGGGAUGGAUACAUUCCUCUCCACCUCGAAGAUCCAGAUGUUAAUGGGGAACAGCAUGAGGGUGAAGAAGAUGAAGGUCACUAGGAGACAGGAAGCAGAGGGUCUCGUUGUCAUGCAAGAGUCCCACAGGAGGGUCUUCCUCAUCUGCUGGGCUAGAGCCACAAACCACAUCACCACGCACAGAGUGACUGGCCCCUGAGGUUCCAGGAGUCAACCCCUCCAUUUCUACCUCUCCUGUGACCAGGAAAUGAUGUAACUCGAUUCUCAGCUCUGUUCUCCCACCACCCACAAAACCCCCACACCACCCCCAAAGAAGAGGGAGAAGUGCCCAGGAAGAUGUGGGUUAGGAAAACAAAGGACCUUUUCCAGAGCUAAGAGGCACCUUCACAGAAGCUCAAGAUGGUCCCGACCAAGCCGACAAUGGGCAAUUUCUGAACAGCGGGCAGGUAGGGCAGGUGCAACCAGAUGGUGAGGAUGAGGCCCAGCCCCAGGGUCAGGUUGAAGCUUAACUUAGCCACCUUAAACAUGGGCUGAUUUGUCCACAGCUUAAAACUGUCUGGGGAAAAUGACAAACAAAAAGAUCAACUAAGGAUUCACAAAAGACGAAACAUAAAAAUGAGCAAAUACAAGAAAACGUACCACCAGGCGCGGUGACUCAGGCCUGUA